rnacentral:lncRNA from 1 species
AUUAAAUUGUAUUAGAAUUAAAAAAUAAAAUGACAAAUAAUUAAAAAUAUUUGAUUUAUUAUUAGGAUGGAAAUUAAAAUGAAUUUCUAAUAGAAUGAAAAUUAAAAUUCGAUACCUAUAAAAUAAAUAAUAAUUAUCAAAAUUAAUGAAUCCUAUUAUGAGUUUAUAGUUUUUGCCUCUUUCUUGCCUGUUUUUCGGAGGCCUCAGCUGCUUCCAUCUUGUAUGCUUAGCUUAUUUUACUUAAUAAAAUUUCUGUUUAAUCAAAAAAAAAAAUAAAAAAUAAAUGAACCAAGUAAGUGGGAAAUUGAUAUAUCCAAAAUAAUUUUUACUCAAAACAGAUAUAUUGUAGUCACUCAUUAUUUGAAACUCCUUACUCUAGCAAUAAUAAAAUUUGCCCCAUAUAUAUCGAUUCCCUCUCUUAAAUAUAUAUAUAUAUAUAUAUAGAGAGAGAGAGAGAGAGAGAGAGAGAGAGAGAGAGAGUUGAGCUAGAAUACUCUCAAAAGUAUCGAGAGAGUGGUGCUUUUAUAUUUUUAGACAUUAGAUGGAAAGAUGUGGGGUUGAGAUGAUGGUGGUAGGUGUAAUAGUGUUUGAUCCAAAAGCUAUUAGUGAUGAAGGAGUAGAUCCAACGGCUAGAAACCUAAAAGCACCAAGGGAUUGGUACUUCUAAAAGUAUUAUAGUUCAAUUCUACAUAUAUAUAUACAUAUAUAUACAUGUAUAUAGAUGUAUAUAUAUACAUAUAUAGAACUAGGCUAAUAUACUAUUAAUAGCACAGGUCAUUGGUGCUACCAAGUUUUUGGCCAUUGGAUUAAGAGAUGUGCGGUUAGGAUGAUGUCGGCCCCCUAGGGUUGAGUGGGUGGUUGGUUAAAUAGUAUGAUCUAACGGGUGAAAAUGAUCAAAAGGGUAGAUCUAACGGCGGAAAAUUUGGUAGCACCAAGUACUUCGUGCUAUUAAUAGCAUAGUAGCCGGACUCUACAUAUAUAUAUGUAUACAUAUAUAUAGAAUUGAGCUCCUAUGCUUUUAAAAGUACCAAGUUAUUGAUACUUGUAAAUUUUUUGCAAUUGAAUUAAGAGAUGUACGGUUAGGAUGAUGUGGGACUCCUAGGGUUGAGUGGAUGGUUGGUCGAAUAGUAUAAUCUAACGGUUGAAAAUGAUCAAAGGUAUAGAUCUUACGGUAAAAAAUUUACAAGCACCAAGUGCUUGGUGCUUUUACAACCACCAUAGCCGGACUCCAUAUAUAUAUAUAUAUAUAUAUGCUACUAUGCUAUCAGUAGCACGGGGCCUCACGUGCUACCAUUUGUUUUCGAUUAUGCGGCUUCCAAAUCAACGAUUGGCUCCGUUAGACUUGAUCUACACUAUUAAAAGUAUUUGCAAACUAAAUUUCAUAAUUUUUCGAUAUCAUUUACCUAUCAAACAAAUAGUCUAAAAUUGAACGGCUGAAAUUAAAAAUCUCAUAAAAAAUAAUGACAAAAGAUUUAAAUUCAAGAUCAGAUAUACUGAUCUUACUCUAAAUAGUGAAAAGAAUUUUCUAUAAAAUUUUCAUCGGAUUUGGAUUGUUUUAUACCGUUAAACUCACAAACAUGCCACAUCGGCCAUUAAAAUGGUCAAUUUUGAGAUCUUUUGAUCACUAGUCAAAUGAUGUCGAAAAAUUAUGAAAUUUAUUUUUCAAAUACUUUUAAUAGUGUAGAUCAAGUCUAACGGAGCCGAUCGUCGAUUUGGAAGCCGCAUCAUCGAAAACAAC